UAAUCGGCCCUUUUCAGGGCCACCAAUAUUUUUUAAAACAUAGAA
rfam:Trichomalopsis sarcophagae strain Alberta scaffold1967, whole genome shotgun sequence.